CGAACUCUGGUAUUGAUUGGUGCUUGCAUCAUGAUUUACAUUUGAGUGAGUGGCGAACUGGUGAGUAACACGUGGGAAACCUGCCCAGAAGCGGGGGAUAACACCUGGAAACAGAUGCUAAUACCGCAUAACAACUUGGACCGCAUGGUCCGAGUUUGAAAGAUGGCUUCGGCUAUCACUUUUGGAUGGUCCCGCGGCGUAUUAGCUAGAUGGUGGGGUAACGGCUCACCAUGGCAAUGAUACGUAGCCGACCUGAGAGGGUAAUCGGCCACAUUGGGACUGAGACACGGCCCAAACUCCUACGGGAGGCAGCAGUAGGGAAUCUUCCACAAUGGACGAAAGUCUGAUGGAGCAACGCCGCGUGAGUGAAGAAGGGUUUCGGCUCGUAAAACUCUGUUGUUAAAGAAGAACAUAUCUGAGAGUAACUGUUCAGGUAUUGACGGUAUUUAACCAGAAAGCCACGGCUAACUACGUGCCAGCAGCCGCGGUAAUACGUAGGUGGCAAGCGUUGUCCGGAUUUAUUGGGCGUAAAGCGAGCGCAGGCGGUUUUUUAAGUCUGAUGUGAAAGCCUUCGGCUCAACCGAAGAAGUGCAUCGGAAACUGGGAAACUUGAGUGCAGAAGAGGACAGUGGAACUCCAUGUGUAGCGGUGAAAUGCGUAGAUAUAUGGAAGAACACCAGUGGCGAAAGCGGCUGUCUGGUCUGUAACUGACGCUGAGGCUCGAAAGUAUGGGUAGCAAACAGGAUUAGAUACCCUGGUAGUCCAUACCGUAAACGAUGAAUGCUAAGUGUUGGAGGGUUUCCGCCCUUCAGUGCUGCAGCUAACGCAUUAAGCAUUCCGCCUGGGGAGUACGGCCGCAAGGCUGAAACUCAAAGGAAUUGACGGGGGCCCGCACAAGCGGUGGAGCAUGUGGUUUAAUUCGAAGCUACGCGAAGAACCUUACCAGGUCUUGACAUACUAUGCAAAUCUAAGAGAUUAGACGUUCCCUUCGGGGACAUGGAUACAGGUGGUGCAUGGUUGUCGUCAGCUCGUGUCGUGAGAUGUUGGGUUAAGUCCCGCAACGAGCGCAACCCUUAUUAUCAGUUGCCAGCAUUAAGUUGGGCACUCUGGUGAGACUGCCGGUGACAAACCGGAGGAAGGUGGGGAUGACGUCAAAUCAUCAUGCCCCUUAUGACCUGGGCUACACACGUGCUACAAUGGAUGGUACAACGAGUUGCGAACUCGCGAGAGUAAGCUAAUCUCUUAAAGCCAUUCUCAGUUCGGAUUGUAGGCUGCAACUCGCCUACAUGAAGUCGGAAUCGCUAGUAAUCGCGGAUCAGCAUGCCGCGGUGAAUACGUUCCCGGGCCUUGUACACACCGCCCGUCACACCAUGAGAGUUUGUAACACCCAAAGUCGGUGGGGUAACCUUUUAGGAACCAGCCGCCUAAGGUGGGACAGAUGAUU
rnacentral:rRNA from 2 species